GACGAACGCUGGUGGCGUGCUUAACACAUGCAAGUCGAACGGAAAGGCCCCUUUGGGGGUACUCGAGUGGCGAACGGGUGCGUAACACGUGAGUAACCUGCCCUUGACUUCGGGAUAACUUCAGGAAACUGGGGCUAAUACCGGAUAGGAAUCCUUGCUGCAUGGUGGGGGUUGGAAAGCUUCGGCGGUUUUGGAUGGACUCGCGGCUUAUCAGCUUGUUGGUGGGGUAGUGGCUUACCAAGGCUUUGACGGGUAGCCGGCCUGAGAGGGCGACCGGCCACAUUGGGACUGAGAUACGGCCCAGACUCCUACGGGAGGCAGCAGUGGGGAAUAUUGCACAAUGGGCGGAAGCCUGAUGCAGCAACGCCGCGGGCGGGAUGACGGCCUUCGGGUUGUAAACCGCUUUCAGCAGGGGCGAAGCUUGUGGUGACGGUACCUGCAGAAGAAGCACCGGCUAACUACGUG
rnacentral:rRNA from 1 species